rnacentral:tRNA from 1 species
GGAGGAUUACCCAAGUGGUUGAAGGGGACAGUUUGCUAAACUGUUAGGGUUCGUAAGGGCCGCGAGGGUUCAAAUCCCUCAUCUUCCGCCA